CGCUAUAAAUGCGGCGGCCGCCUGGGUUCCUCGCUUUUGGUCCGGUUCCGUUCGCUGCUGGUCUUGGCUUUUUCUCCCGCCGCCGCCGCCGCCGCCUGCGCCCCCGCUCUGGUCCGUGGUGCCGCCGGACCAGCACCAUGUCUCUCUCGCGCUCAGAGGAAAUGCACCGUCUCACGGAAAAUGUCUACAAGACCAUCAUGGAGCAGUUUAACCCCAGCCUGCGAAACUUCAUCGCCAUGGGGAAGAACUACGAGAAAGCCCUGGCAGGUGUGACGUAUGCAGCCAAAGGCUAUUUCGAUGCCCUCGUGAAGAUGGGUGAGCUGGCCAGCGAGAGCCAGGGCUCCAAGGAACUCGGAGAUGUUCUCUUCCAGAUGGCCGAAGUCCACAGGCAGAUUCAAAAUCAGUUGGAGGAAAUGCUGAAGUCCUUUCACAACGAGCUGCUCACACAGCUGGAGCAGAAGGUGGAGCUGGACUCCAGGUACCUGAGUGCUGCACUGAAGAAAUACCAGACGGAGCAGAGGAGCAAAGGCGAUGCGCUAGACAAGUGCCAGGCCGAGCUGAAGAAGCUGCGCAAGAAGAGCCAAGGGAGCAAAAACCCCCAGAAGUACUCGGACAAGGAGCUGCAGUACAUCGAUGCCAUCAGCAACAAACAGGGUGAGCUGGAGAACUACGUGUCAGACGGCUACAAGACGGCCCUCACCGAGGAGCGGAGGAGGUUCUGCUUCCUGGUGGAGAAGCAGUGCGCCGUGGCCAAGAACUCCGCAGCCUACCAUUCCAAGGGCAAGGAGCUGCUUGCCCAGAAGCUGCCGCUGUGGCAGCAGGCGUGUGCCGAUCCCAACAAGAUUCCAGACCGCGCCGUGCAGCUCAUGCAGCAGAUGGCCAACAGCAACGGCUCCAUCCUCCCCAGCACUCUGUCAGCCUCCAAGUCCAACCUGGUCAUCUCAGACCCCAUUCCAGGGGCCAAGCCCCUGCCGGUGCCCCCCGAGCUGGCCCCAUUUGUAGGGCGGCUGUCUGCCCAGGAGAAUGCACCCGUCAUGAACGGUGUCUCGGGCCCGGACAGCGAGGACUACAGCCCCUGGGCCGACCGAAAGGCCGCCCAGCCCAAGUCCUCAUCUCCUCCGCAGUCUCAGAACAAGCUGAGCGACUCCUACUCCAACACGCUCCCCGUGCGCAAGAGCGUGGCCCCGAAAAACAGCUACGCCACCACUGAGAACAAGACUCUGCCCCGCUCGAGCUCCAUGGCAGCCGGCCUGGAACGCAACGGCCGCAUGCGGGUGAAGGCCAUCUUCUCCCACGCAGCUGGGGACAACAGCACCCUGCUGAGCUUCAAGGAGGGCGACCUCAUCACCCUGCUGGUGCCUGAGGCCCGCGACGGCUGGCACUACGGCGAGAGCGAGAAGACCAAGAUGCGGGGCUGGUUUCCCUUCUCCUACACCCGGGUCCUGGACAGCGACGGCAGUGACCGGCUGCACAUGAGCCUACAGCCAGGGAAGAGCAGCAGCACAGGCAACCUCCUGGACAAGGAGGACCUGGCUAUCCCACCCCCUGACUACGGCACGGCCUCCCGCGCCUUCCCCGCCCAGACGGCUGGUACCUUCAAGCAGAGACCCUACAGCGUGGCUGUGCCUGCCUUCUCCCAGGGUCUGGAUGACUACGGGGCACGGGCUGUGAGCAGCGCCGAGGUGGAAGUGGCCAGGUUUUGAGCGCCCUGACUAGAGUUAGAGGAGAAAGUUCAGGAGAAAGUGGAGACGUAUGCGGUAAUUGCCGUCUUUGCUCCUCUCUGCUCUGGAAUCACCAAAGGAUGGAAGUCGCACUUUGCCAUGACUUGGCUGUUCUCAGAAUUACAAUUUCUUACUCAAGUAGCGGACUCAAAAUCGCCUUAGAUGAUUCUCUAAAACCCGCAGCGACACAAGCUUCGUGAGCCUGGAAUUGAACGCUGCUCGACUGCAGCCUUCGACCCUCCUUAGGCUGUAGGGGUUUGCCAGGGGCAGAGGCAGUGGGGUCAGGACCCCUGUGCUGCCCGGGGUCCCUGAGGGCUGGCUGUCCAGGAGGCAGUGCAGGGCAGCCCUGCCCCCUUGAACUGCAGCCCGACCCACCCUCCCCCAGCAGGGGUCCAGCUUGUGCUUUCCUGAGCCAGGGGCUUCAGGCCUGGUCCGUGCUGUGAAUGGAAAUCCGUUCUCUGUGUAAAGCCGCCAGUCCUCCCACGUCCCUGCUCAGGAGUCCCUUGGAGAGGGGACAGAGCUGCACCCCUGGCGUUCCUCAGCCAGUGCCCCCAGGGGGAGAGCCCCACACAGCCCCUCUGGGCCCCAAGCACUUGGGCGGUUCUUGUUGACUUGCUUUGCUGGCACAAGGAGCGUGUUUUGUGUCUUGGUUUGUUGUCAAUCAAUCGUCCGCCGACAGUGCUGUUGGGAGAAGGCUCGGUGCCUGGCGUCCGCCUCUUGGCAGGGACAAAUGUCUGGGGACGAGAGAAUCUACAGUGGCCUUAGGUCAAAAUCUUGUUCUGUUUUGUCAUCCGGUCGGCGGUCACACAGGUACCCUCCCCAGGGUAGCUCAUGAACCCGUUCUUUCACAGAACAUUCCAGAAGGUGCUAGGCCCCUGAGCGGCCACACCCCUCCUCUGAUGCUGAGUGGUGGGAGGGUCCUGCCCAUGGGUCUCUGGCCAGAGCUGCGAGGGGGAGGGGGCUGCGGGCCGCACCCGAUCCCUCAGAACCUGCAGUGUGGAGGCAGUGCGCUCCCCGGUUCAGGUCACACUGUUCUUGGGGGAGGAAAUAAGAAAAGGGGGGGUCAGAAGCCAGACCCCUGGCAGGGGAGACCCUUCCCAUCCCGCAGCUCCCUCUGGCCCCGGCUGACGAUGACGCUUUGCCACUGGCCUCUCUGAUGAGAAUUCAAGUGUGUCAGGACAGGAGUAAGGUGUGAGCUGCCCAAACCCACUCGGCCAUUUUGCCCCUGGCUCUGGCCAGCACAGUGCUGUCCUCUCUUUUCUGGGGCACAGGGUCUGCGUUCCUCCCUCUGCUCCGUCCCUGAUCCUAGACGGACUCACGUGCCCCAUCUCCAGCCCCCCAGGACCUCCUGCCUCUACCGUGGUUGGGCACAGCUGAGGGCACAGAGCCCUCUUCUAGAACCAAAGUCUGUAGUUCAGGUAGCAGCCAGGGCACGGGCCAUCCUCCACCCUCCAUCCCCGGGGCGGAUGUCCGUGUGCAUGGCAGAACCUCGCCUUUAGAACCUCCAGGUGGCCCCUGCCUGUGGCCGGCGUGGCUGAAGCUCGGCUGCUCCAUCAGAGCCGAGAGGCCCAAGUGAGCAGAGCCUGAGGCCUCCUGGGGGCUGGAGGCGCCUUUAAUCUGGGGCCGGAACGCUCUAAGUCAGAAGAUGCUCGUCGUCCGUGUGCAUGGGAGCCGCCGGACUCUCAGAUGUCCCCAAGGAGAUGCAGAAGCUGCGCAUCAAGGGUCAGCUGCCUCUCAGUAGCUUAGCCUUUUACAAACUCAAUCCAGAGAGUCUCCGCUUUUUAGAAAACCCCACGUCCUCAGGAAAACACAGGGCUGUCUGCCUGGGCACACUGGAGGGAAUGCCCGCCCGCCUGCCCAGCUCCCGUGGACGCCCAGCCCCGCUCUGCCAGAGGCGACUCCCGUCCAGGAAUCCCUUCGCCAACGUCCAGCUGAAGCCGACAGUGACCAAUGACAGGUCUGCCCCCCUCCUCAGCUGAUGGCCCCGUCUGCACCCGCUGCCCAUUGGGCCCUUCUUCCCCCACCUCCACCAGUAACCUGUUUUCUUACAACCUGAGUGGUCUCUGUUUAGAGAAUUUUCUCCUUCCGAGCCCUUCACCUGCCCAGAGCUCUACCCUCACAUCAGUCCGGCCUGGGCUGGACCCCGGCUGUUCCUGUGGAGGUGGCACCUGGCACCUGGAGCCGAGACCUGCUGCUGGGCCAUGGGGCCGGCC